rnacentral:rRNA from 1 species
ACGGAGGGUGCAAGCGUUAUUCGGAAUCAUUGGGUGUAAAGCGCGUGUAGGCGGCUGGGUAAGUUAGAUGUGAAAGCUCUGGGCUUAACCCGGAAAGUGCAUUUAAAACUGCCUGGCUUGAGUCUCGUAGAGGUAGGUGGAAUUCCCGGUGUAGAGGUGAAAUGCGUAGAGAUCGGGAGGAACACCGAUUGCGAAGGCAGCCUACUGGGCGCAGACUGACGCUGAGGCGCGAAAGCGUGGGGAGCAAACAG